CAGUCGCCGCGGGAAUACGAAGGGGGCUAGCGUUGCUCGGAAUGACUGGGCGUAAGGGCGCGUAGGCGGUUUUGACAGUCAGAUGUGAAAUUCCUGGGCUUAACCUGGGGGCUGCAUUUGAGACGUCAAGACCAGAGUGUGAGAGAGGGUUGUGGAAUUCCCAGUGUAGAGGUGAAAUUCGUAGAUAUUGGGAAGAACACCGGUGGCGAAGGCGGCAACCUGGCUCAUUACUGACGCUGAGGCGCGAAAGCGUGGGGAGCAAACAGGAUUAGAUACCCCCGUAGUCCCUGUCUCUUAUACA
rnacentral:rRNA from 1 species